rnacentral:rRNA from 1 species
AUUGAACGCUGGCGGCAGGCCUAACACAUGCAAGUCGAACGGUAACAGGAAGAAGCUUGCUUCUUUGCUGACGAGUGGCGGACGGGUGAGUAAUGUCUGGGAAACUGCCUGAUGGAGGGGGAUAACUACUGGAAACGGUAGCUAAUACCGCAUAAUGUCGCAAGACCAAAGAGGGGGACCUUCGGGCCUCUUGCCAUCGGAUGUGCCCAGAUGGGAUUAGCUAGUAGGUGGGGUAACGGCUCACCUAGGCGACGAUCCCUAGCUGGUCUGAGAGGAUGACCAGCCACACUGGAACUGAGACACGGUCCAGACUCCUACGGGAGGCAGCAGUGGGGAAUAUUGCACAAUGGGCGCAAGCCUGAUGCAGCUAUGCCGCGUGUAUGAAGAAGGCCUUCGGGUUGUAAAGUACUUUCAGCGGGGAGGAAGGGAGUAAAGUUAAUACCUCUGCUCAUUGACGUUACCCGCAGAAGAAGCACCGGCUAACUCCGUG